rnacentral:rRNA from 1 species
UGGGGAAUAUUGGGCAAUGGGCGAAAGCCUGACCCAGCCACGCCGCGUGAGUGAUGAAGGCCUUCGGGUCGUAAAGCUCUGUGGGGAGGGACGAACAAGCCUGUGGCUAAUAUCCACGGGCCCUGACGGUACCUCCUUAGCAAGCACCGGCUAACCCUGUGCCAGCAGCCGCGGUAAUACAGGGGGUGCAAACGUUGCUCGGAAUUAUUGGGCGUAAAGCGCACGUAGGCGGUCUGUUAUGUCGGAUGUGAAAGCCCUUGGCUCAACUGAGGAAGUGCAUCCGAAACUGGCAGGCUAGAGUACUAAAGAGGGUCGCGGAAUUCCCGGUGUAGAGGUGAAAUUCGUAGAUAUCGGGAGGAACACCGGUGGCGAAGGCGGCGACCUGGGUAGAUACUGACGCUGAGGUGCGAAAGCGUGGGGAGCAAACA